rnacentral:rRNA from 1 species
AGCAGUGGGGAAUUUUGGACAAUGGGCGCAAGCCUGAUCCAGCAAUGCCGCGUGAGUGAAGAAUGCCUUCGGGUUGUAAAGCUCUUUUGUCAGGGAAGAAACGGGGAAGGCUAAUAUCCUUUGCUAAUGACGGUACCUGAAGAAUAAGCACCGGCUAACUACGUGCCAGCAGCCGCGAUAAUACGUACGGAGCAAGCGUUAAUCGGAAUUACUGGGCGUAAAGCGUGCGCAGGCGGUUUUGUAAGUUUGUCGUGAAAGCCCCGGGCUCAACCUGGGAAUUGCGAUGAAGACUGCAAGGCUUGAAUCUGCCAGAGGGUGCUAGAAUUCCACGUGUAGCACUGAAAUGCGUAGAGAUGUGCAGGAACACCUAUGACGAAGGCAGCCCCUGGGUCAAGAUUGACGCUCAUG